AUGUCCCCCCAUAUCCCCCCAUGUCCCCCAUAUCCCCCCCUAUAUCCCCCAUAUCCCCCAUAUCCCCCCUAUAUUCUCCCAAUCCCCCCAUAUCCCCCCCAUAUCCCCCCAUAUCCCCCAUAUCCCCCAUAUCCCCCUAUAUCCCCCUAUAUCCCCCUAUAUUCCCCCUAUAUCCCCCCAUAUCUGCCCUAUAUCCCCCUAUAUCCCCCCAUAUCCCCCCAUAUCCCCCUGUACCCCCUAUAUCCCCAAUCCCCUAUAUCCCCCCAUAUCCCCCUAUAUCCCCCCAUAUCCCCCCAUAUCCCCCUAUAUUCACCCCAUAUCCCCCCUAUACCCCCCCUAUCCCCCAUACCACCCAUAUCCCCCUAUAGCCCCCCUAUCCCCCAUAUCCCACAUAUCCCCCCUAUAUCCCCACUAUAUCCCCCCAUAGCCCCCCAAAUCUCCCAUAUCCCCCUAAUCCCCCCAUAUUCCCCAUAUCCCCCUAUAUCCCCCAUAUCCCCCCCCAUAUCCCCCCAUGUCCCCCCAUAUCCCCCCUAUAUCACCCCAUAUCUCCCCCUAUACCCCCAUAUCCCCCCUAAUUCCCCCAUAUCCCCCCAUAUAUCCCCCCAUUCAUCUCCCCCAUCAUCCGCCCUAUAUAUCCCCCCUAUAUCCCCCUAUAUCCACCAUAUCCCCCCCUAUAUCCCCCUAUAUCCCCCUAUAUCCCCCAAUCAUCCCCUAUAUCCCCCUGAUUCCCCCUAUAUCCUCUUCCCAUAUCCCCCCUAUACCCCCCUAGUCCAUCCUCCCGUAUAUCCCGCCCUAUCCAUAUCCCCCAUAUUCCCCCUAUAUUCACCCAUACACCCCUCCCGUAUCCCCCCUAUAUCCCCCAGUAUCCCUUCCCCAUAUCCCCUCCAUAUCCCCCCAUAUCCCCCCUAUAUCCUCCCUAUCUCCCUCCCCCAUAUGCCCAUAUCCCCCUAUAUCCCCCCUAUAUUCCCCCAUAUCCCCCUAUAUCCCCCCAUAUUCCCCCUAUAA
rnacentral:lncRNA from 1 species